rnacentral:rasiRNA from 1 species
UGAUAUCCUGAGCAAGUGCUCUGCCCGA